UUGAUCAUGUCCCAAGAGACUGAAAAUAAGAUUAUAUAAACUUGAAUGCAAACAUAUCAUAUGUUAAUCUUAAUUUUUUUUGUUGCUCAAAAUUAAUUAAUUAGUUCUACUAUUCUUUUUUUAAUUGUAUGGUGGGAAACACAUUGGUCACUUCUGAAUCAUGUUGCAUAUUUGUUAACUCAAAAAAACAGUACACUUUUGUAUCAAUCAAACUCACUUUGUUAAUAUUCUUCAUCAUUAUGGUUAAUGGCUUAGCAAAUGUAGAAGGAGUCAACCAAAAUGAAUCACUUUCUCUUGUAUUAACCUUUUAUUAAUUGUUGAAGUUAAAAAAAAAUGUUAAAACAAAUUAAAAUAGUUCCAACUCAAAAUCAGUAGGGUGUAAGUAGGUUGUUAUAAAUAUUUUUAAAUUUUAGUCUAAUUUAAUUGUGUGAUGCAC
rnacentral:lncRNA from 1 species